rnacentral:lncRNA from 1 species
CCCAUAAAUACUGGCCAGCUGUGGACAACUUUCCAGUGGACAUCCCACCUCUGCUGGGUAGGUUUUCCACAAUUCACAAGUUGCUUUUUUCUCACAGGAGCUCCACAUUUCCUUUGCGGUGAUAUACUGCCCACAGGCAGGCUGAUCUCUUUAACAACAGACAAAGCCCUGAAGGAGACCAGGGAACUCCUGCACCUCGGGCUGCUGCCUCAGGAUGAAUGCAGAUCCCCAAUAUGACUGUGCAAAACACAAGAGGCAUCCUCCAAAGGCCCAUAAACAAAGAUAAGGGUUCUACAGUCGGCUUUCACUGGAGCCACACAGGGUUCUCCCUGUCCUCGGGCCUUAGCUCAGCCUGGGCAGUCCUGCUGCUCCUCUCCCGAAGAGAAGAUGGGGACUGAGAGAGACCAACAGCGAGAUCCCCUGGUUCUGUGCUGUGUGUGCAGCUCCCACUCAUCACCUUGUGUGCUUCCCUGCCCUUGAGCCCUGGAGACACAAAUAUAUGCAGCUAAUCACCUCUUUUCAGUCACUCAUUCAUUUAACAAUAGUACAUUUGAUACAUACGUAUGGAGCAUUUGUUUGACAUGUUAGGUCUCCUCCCAUGGCAGGAGAUGGGGAAUGCUGUAAACAUGACUUUGCCAUGGACCUCUAGAACCUUGAGGCCUCCCAAGAGCUUCAGCGGGUGUAUUCACCAGGUUUCCUCACAGGCUAUUUAUGCAGAAAAGAGAGGUUUAUGCCUCUCAGUUUGGGGGGUUCAAAGCCAUGGCAUCUCCAUUGGCUAAUAUAGUAUAAAAACUACAAUGAAAGUGUGGGUUGCAGUUAAGGGUAAGGGGAGGGCUGGGAAGGAAAAUAAAGCAUAUUAUUACAUGUAUGAAUACGAGGAAACAAACUCAUUAUUCUCUAUCAUGAAUAUGCGCUAAUAAAUUUGUUGGCAGAGUUUCAGAUUCCAUGCUGCAAACAUAAAGAAACGAACCCUGGAAUCUGUGCGUUGUGCUUCUCAGUAAAGAUGAGGGGCCGUUUGGGCAGUGGCGAGUGGUGAUUUCCGUUGUCCGAACUGGG